ACUAUCGUUAACUGAAUACAUAGGUUAACGAGGCGAACCGGGGGAACUGAAACAUCUAAGUACCCCGAGGAAAAGAAAUCAACCGAGAUUCCCCCAGUAGCGGCGAGCGAACGGGGAGCAGCCCAGAGUCUGAAUCAGCUUGUGUGUUAGUGGAACGGUCUGGAAAGUCCGACGGUACAGGGUGAUAGUCCCGUACACCAAAAUGCACAGGCUGUGAACUCGAAGAGUAGGGCGGGACACGUGGUAUCCUGUCUGAAUAUGGGGGGACCAUCCUCCAAGGCUAAAUACUCCUGACUGACCGAUAGUGAACCAGUACCGUGAGGGAAAGGCGAAAAGAACCCCGGCGAGGGGAGUGAAAAAGAACCUGAAACCGUGUACGUACAAGCAGUGGGAGCACCUUCGGGUGUGACUGCGUACCUUUUGUAUAAUGGGUCAGCGACUUAUAUUCUGUAGCAAGGUUAACCGUAUAGGGGAGCCGCAGGGAAACCGAGUCUUAACUGGGCGUUAAGUUGCAGGGUAUAGACCCGAAACCCGGUGAUCUAGCCAUGGGCAGGUUGAAGGUUGGGUAACACUAACUGGAGGACCGAACCGACUAAUGUUGAAAAAUUAGCGGAUGACUUGUGGCUGGGGGUGAAAGGCCAAUCAAACCGGGAGAUAGCUGGUUCUCCCCGAAAGCUAUUUAGGUAGCGCCUCGUGAAUUCAUCUUCGGGGGUAGAGCACUGUUUCGGCUAGGGGGUCAUCCCGACUUACCAACCCGAUGCAAACUACGAAUACCGAAGAAUGUUAUCACGGGAGACACACGGCGGGUGCUAACGUCCGUCGUGAAGAGGGAAACAACCCAGACCGCCAGCUAAGGUCCCAAAGUCAUGGUUAAGUGGGAAACGAUGUGGGAAGGCACAGACAGCCAGGAUGUUGGCUUAGAAGCAGCCAUCAUUUAAAGAAAGCGUAAUAGCUCACUGGUCGAGUCGGCCUGCGCGGAAGAUGUAACGGGGCUAAACCAUGCACCGAAGCUGCGGCAGCGACACUAUGUGUUGUUGGGUAGGGGAGCGUUCUGUAAGCCUGCGAAGGUGUGCUGUGAGGCAUGCUGGAGGUAUCAGAAGUGCGAAUGCUGACAUAAGUAACGAUAAAGCGGGUGAAAAGCCCGCUCGCCGGAAGACCAAGGGUUCCUGUCCAACGUUAAUCGGGGCAGGGUGAGUCGACCCCUAAGGCGAGGCCGAAAGGCGUAGUCGAUGGGAAACAGGUUAAUAUUCCUGUACUUGGUGUUACUGCGAAGGGGGGACGGAGAAGGCUAUGUUAGCCGGGCGACGGUUGUCCCGGUUUAAGCAUGUAGGCUGGUUGUCCAGGCAAAUCCGGAUAAUCAAGGCUGAGGUGUGAUGACGAGGCACUACGGUGCUGAAGUAACAAAUGCCCUGCUUCCAGGAAAAGCCUCUAAGCAUCAGGUAACAUCAAAUCGUACCCCAAACCGACACAGGUGGUCAGGUAGAGAAUACCAAGGCGCUUGAGAGAACUCGGGUGAAGGAACUAGGCAAAAUGGUGCCGUAACUUCGGGAGAAGGCACGCUGGUGUGUAGGUGAAGUCCCUGCGGAUGGAGCUGAGACCAGUCGAAGAUACCAGCUGGCUGCAACUGUUUAUUAAAAACACAGCACUGUGCAAACACGAAAGUGGACGUAUACGGUGUGACGCCUGCCCGGUGCCGGAAGGUUAAUUGAUGGGGUUAUCCGUAAGGAGAAGCUCUUGAUCGAAGCCCCGGUAAACGGCGGCCGUAACUAUAACGGUCCUAAGGUAGCGAAAUUCCUUGUCGGGUAAGUUCCGACCUGCACGAAUGGCGUAAUGAUGGCCAGGCUGUCUCCACCCGAGACUCAGUGAAAUUGAACUCGCUGUGAAGAUGCAGUGUACCCGCGGCAAGACGGAAAGACCCCGUGAACCUUUACUAUAGCUUGACACUGAACAUUGAGCCUUGAUGUGUAGGAUAGGUGGGAGGCUUUGAAGCGUGGACGCCAGUCUGCGUGGAGCCAACCUUGAAAUACCACCCUUUAAUGUUUGAUGUUCUAACGUUGGCCCCUUACCGGGGUUGCGGACAGUGUCUGGUGGGUAGUUUGACUGGGGCGGUCUCCUCCCAAAGCGUAACGGAGGAGCACGAAGGUUAGCUAAUCCUGGUCGGACAUCAGGAGGUUAGUGCAAUGGCAUAAGCUAGCUUGACUGCGAGCGUGACGGCGCGAGCAGGUGCGAAAGCAGGUCAUAGUGAUCCGGUGGUUCUGAAUGGAAGGGCCAUCGCUCAACGGAUAAAAGGUACUCCGGGGAUAACAGGCUGAUACCGCCCAAGAGUUCAUAUCGACGGCGGUGUUUGGCACCUCGAUGUCGGCUCAUCACAUCCUGGGGCUGAAGUAGGUCCCAAGGGUAUGGCUGUUCGCCAUUUAAAGUGGUACGCGAGCUGGGUUUAGAACGUCGUGAGACAGUUCGGUCCCUAUCUGCCGUGGGCGCUGGAGAAUUGAGGGGGGCUGCUCCUAGUACGAGAGGACCGGAGUGGACGCAUCACUGGUGUUCGGGUUGUCAUGCCAAUGGCACUGCCCGGUAGCUAAAUGCGGAAGAGAUAAGUGCUGAAAGCAUCUAAGCACGAAACUUGCCCCGAGAUGAGUUCUCCCUGAGACUUUAAGUCUCCUGAAGGAACGUUAAAGACGAUGACGUUGAUAGGCCGGGUGUGUAAGCGCAGCGAUGCGUUGAGCUAACCGGUACUAAUGAACCGUGAGGCUUAACC
rnacentral:rRNA from 1 species